rnacentral:tRNA from 1 species
UCCGAUAUGGUCUAGUGGCUAGGAUUUGCCGCUCUCAUCCAGCUUCACAGCUCGGAAAGCGCCGGCAAGGCCCGGGUUCAAUUCCCGGUGUCGGAA